AAGUCGUAACAAGGUUUCCGUAGGUGAACCUGCGGAAGGAUCAUUACAGAGAACAUGCCCCCCGGGGUAGAUCUCCCACCCUUUGUUUACCUUACAUUGUUGCUUUGGCGGGCCCGUCUAACGACCGCCGGCCACUGCUGGUCAGUGCCCGCCAGAGAACCUUAAAUUCUAGUUAAUGUUGUCUGAGCAUCAUAUAAUAUAUUAAAACUUUCAACAACGGAUCUCUUGGUUCUGGCAUCGAUGAAGAACGCAGCGAAAUGCGAUAAGUAAUGUGAAUUGCAGAAUUCAGUGAAUCAUCGAAUCUUUGAACGCACAUUGCACCCUCUGGUAUUCCGGGGGGUAUGCCUGUUCGAGCGUCAUUACAACCCUCAAGCUUUGCUUGGUAUUGGAUGGAAUGCUUCAUUCAUCUCAAAAUUAGUGGCGGUGCCAUUCAGCUUCCAGCGUAGUAUCAUCCUCGCUGUGGAAACCUGGGUGUGCCUUUGCCAGCAACCCUCAGUUUUUAAAGGUUGACCUCGGAUCAGGUAGGGAUACCCGCUGAACUUAAGCAUAUCAAUAAGCGGAGGAAAAGAAACCAACAGGGAUUGCCUCAGUAACGGCGAGUGAAGCGGCAACAGCUCAAAUUUGAAAUCUGGCCAUAUGGUCCGAGUUGUAAUUUGUAGAGGAUGCUUCGAACGUGGUCUGGUCUAAGUUCCUUGGAACAGGACGUCAUAGAGGGUGAGAAUCCCGUAUGCGACUAGGUCCCUUAGUUCAUGUGAAGCUCCUUCGACGAGUCGAGUUGUUUGGGAAUGCAGCUCAAAAUGGGUGGUAUAUUUCAUCUAAAGCUAAAUAUUGGCCAGAGACCGAUAGCGCACGAGUAGAGUGAUCGAAAGAUGAAAAGCACUUUGGAAAGAGAGUUAAACAGUACGUGAAAUUGUUGAAAGGGAAGCGCUUGCAACCAGACUUGCAUGCAGUUGAUCAUCCGAUGUUCUCACCGGUGCACUCGAUUGUAUUCAGGCCAGCAUCGGUUUUGGUGGUUGGAUAAAGGCCUGGGGAAUGUAGCUUCUUUCGGGGAGUGUUAUAGCCCUAGGUGCAAUGCAGCCUACUGGGACCGAGGACCGCGCUUCGGCUAGGAUGCUGGCGUAAUGGUUGUAAGCGACC
rnacentral:rRNA from 1 species